GGCCUAUUUCAAACAGUUGACAAGAAGUCAGUGAGGGUAAUGGCCUGUAGAACGUGGAGUCAGAGAGUUGUCUAGCAGCCUCUCAUUCAUAUUCUGACCUAUUCAUGAUGACUACAGCACCUCUUUUGUCAGCCUUCUUGAUUAUAAUGUCAGAGUUGUUUCUGAGGCUGUGGAUGUUGUUGUGUUCUGCACAGCUGAGGUUA